AUAUAAAAAGCGAGAAAUUUGCAUAUGGUUUCGGCCCAUAUCUUGAGGGUGUGAGUCCUUCUUUAUAUU
rnacentral:tRNA from 1 species